UUUACAACCUACCAUUAGAGUUAAAUUUAAUUACAACUCAUGCCAUCAACUCUCUCUUCCCCGAUCCAUUUUAGAAUAACCCCUCUCGCUCUCUCUCAAAUCCACCGGAAAUCGAGUCACCAUCCACCAUCGCAGACGACGAUCGAUGAUGACGACGAGGAUGAUGAACUCGGUUUUCGAUUCUCUAGUCAGCCGCCUCAUGCAGGUACCGUCUUCUUACUCCAGCAAUGGCACCAAUCGGCGGGAGCGGUCUUCUGGCGAUUUUGACGACUCGGCCUACUAGAUCUCCGUCUCCGGCGGUAAUUUCAAAACCUAUUUUAAAUUACGAUGCCAUUUUUGAAUCUCAUAUUUUGAUGACGACAACGAUGAUGGUUGGGAAUUCAAAGCUGCAGAACUAGAGAACCAGGUUGGCAAUGAGAAUUCCAAGGUAUCAUCCAGACAAGAAUACAAGCAAUCCGGAAGCAACAGAACAGUUCGAGGAGGUUGCAUUUUUGUAUGGCAUCUUAUCUGACCCAGAAAAGAUGAGGCAUUAUGACAAUGCUGGGUUUGGGGUGAUUUCUUCUUAAGUUCACUCUCGCUGUGUUUUAUUUUUAUAGCCGAGUUUUUAUGUGUCUGCUUGAAUGUAAGAUGAAUUGUUGAAUAAAUUUCUUGAUAAUAGUUCAUAUGCAUAGCAUGAACAGUGAUGUCAUUACAUA